GACGAACGCUGGCGGCGUGCUUAACACAUGCAAGUCGAACGGAAAGGCCCUGCUUUUGUGGGGUGCUCGAGUGGCGAACGGGUGAGUAACACGUGAGUAACCUGCCCUUGACUUUGGGAUAACUUCAGGAAACUGGGGCUAAUACCGGAUAGGAGCUCCUGCUGCAUGGUGGGGGUUGGAAAGUUUCGGCGGUUGGGGAUGGACUCGCGGCUUAUCAGCUUGUUAGUGAGGUAGUGGCUUACCAAGGCUUUGACGGGUAGCCGGCCUGAGAGGGUGACCGGCCACAUUGGGACUGAGAUACGGCCCAGACUCCUACGGGAGGCAGCAGUGGGGAAUAUUGCACAAUGGGCGGAAGCCUGAUGCAGCAACGCCGCGUGCGGGAUGACGGCCUUCGGGUUGUAAACCGCUUUCGCCUGUGACGAAGCGUGAGUGACGGUAAUGGGUAAAGAAACACCGGCUAACUACGUG
rnacentral:rRNA from 1 species